UACGAAGGGGGCUAGCGUUGCUCGGAAUCACUGGGCGUAAAGGGCGCGUAGGCGGGCUGUCAAGUCUGGGGUGAAAUGCCGCGGCUCAACCGUGGAACUGCCUUAGAUACUGACGGCCUCGAGGGAGGUAGGGGCGUGCGGAACUGUAGGUGGAGCGGUGAAAUGCGUUGAUAUCUACAGGAACUCCGGUGGCGAAAGCGGCGCGCUGGACCUCUUCUGACGCUGAGGCGCGAAAGCUAGGGGAGCAAACGGG
rnacentral:rRNA from 1 species